UAAUGCUGCGGGAAGUUUUUUGUUUACUUCCUGUGUACAGCGCGGUUCACAACGCAGUUUAGAGAGUGCACGUGUAGUGGGAAAUAUAGCCAUCCAACACAAAGAAACACAAAAUAAGAAACUAUAGUGAGAUAUAGUGAAGCUAAAAGCUUUUGAGUGUUUUAUGUUAUUUGGAUGGCUGUGUAUUUUCUGAUUGACAGCGAUUUCUGUUGAGAUACUCGUGUGGUGUGUAAAUAGCACGAAAUUGAUUCUCAAAGAAGCAGGGGAGAAAGUGCUUCGUAAGCCUUCUGUGUGUUUCCUGGGGAGUGUGAAGCAUCAGAAGAAAGAACGAGUCUGUCAUAUGCUGUGAUAGUGUGUGCAUGUGUCAGAGGGGUGAUAAAAAGGCUGCUACCGUUGUCUAUGUUAGCUAGUUAAACAAAGAGAAUUCUGUCUUUUACUAAAAAGAAGGACAUACACAUUGUGAUAAGAGAAGCAAUUUUUAUUGUUUUAUUUUAUUUCCACAAACUUUAUUUACAAGCUCUACCUUUCCAUCUCUACAACUCCAAAGUUUGCAUAAUUAACGCUGCACCGCUUAACGUGCAGUCUGAAAUAAAAGAUCCCCGUUUAAAUUUUAUAUCCUGUGUCCGGUGUCAUCACUAAUCCAUCUCCCGGGCUACAUA